rnacentral:rRNA from 1 species
UACGGGGGGAGCAAGCGUUGUUCAGAUUUACUGGGCGUAAAGGGCGCGUAGGCGGUCGUGACAAGUCACUUGUGAAAUCUCCGGGCUUAACUCGGAACGGUCAAGUGAUACUGUCGGACUAGAGUACAGAAGGGGCAACUGGAAUUCUCGGUGUAGCGGUGAAAUGCGUAGAUAUCGAGAGGAACACCUGCGGCGAAGGCGGCGUCCUGGACCAACACUGACACUGAGGAGCGAAAGCCAGGGGAGCAAACGGG